rnacentral:lncRNA from 7 species
GGGUAUGUCAUUUAUGAAUGUUUUCUGGUAGUGAAAGGCAGGUCCUGGAGAAUGGCAUCCUACCUUAAGCAAUUCUAAAUCAAGCUAAAGCGGACCAAGUGGUGAACAUUCAGCCUCUCCUUCUCCUUUCUGUCUUCCUCCAUUGCCAUUAGGUGUGAUUGAUGUCGCUGUACUGCCGAUUACAUUGCUGCUGGCUGCACAGUUCCUGCGAGAUUAUGCAGAAUGUUCCUCCAUUGGCUCUGUGGAUAGCACUGAACAUCUAAACCUCUACUUUUUAAUCUACCGCAAUUUAAAUUCAUUUUAUCUGGAAGUUACACAGAAGUUGCUUUAAUAUAUUGUAGCUGUUGAGACUGAAUAAGCAAAAAUCCCAUUAACCUAAUGAGAUUAAUCUGAGGGUAAAAGCACAAAGUUGGGACACUACAAAUUUACCCCAUGCGUCACUGUUCAGAUUUGAAAUGACUUCACACCAACAGAAUAGUGGCAACUUGUACCAUCACCACACACUGUCAUUAAUUCAUGGAUGCUUAAAAUGUUAUAUAUGAAUGUCUUUAAAUGUGCCUCUGAGAAAGCAGAGCUUGCCCUCAAACCAGCAACCAUCUGAAAAUGCUGUGAUGUGUAGGAUAGUAGGUUUCAUAGACGCUGCAGUGCGUACCAGUGGUUUAGAAUGGUAUAGAAUGGUUUCUCCAUUUCUUUAUCAAUGUUGAACAACUUAGCUAACCUAAGGGAUGGAUCAUCAGGGAUUCAUGGCAACAGCCUAAUAGAAAGCUGUUUUGGCAACAAUCUCCUUGAACUUAGCUUAUGUGGAGAACUCUGUACUUGAUAGCCACCUACCUCAAACAGUUUUAGAGUCGUCUAAGAUGCGUGCUGUGUUGUUGAACAGUAACUGUGAAAUGAGAACUUCAUUGAACUUAGUGCCAAGUGCCUUCCAACCAUUUGUUCUGAGUUCUUUGGUAUUUUUAUUGUAAUUACGUUUUGAUUCAUAAUGUCACUCUACAUAUAACACCUUCUAGAAGCUAGAUGGCUGAAGACCAAUAAUUUUUAUCUAGGACAUUCUAUAUAGAUUUCUGCUUUGUUUGUUUCCAUAUCAUUUUCCACUCAUCUUUCCAAAUAUGCAUUUGGAGCAAGAUUCUGCCAAAGCAUCUGUUUUCAGACUUGAGAAGGUCAGGCCCUUUAUUUAGGAUCUCUGUUUCUGAGCGAUCACCACAGUCCCCAGAAACCUUCUCAUCAGAAACUGUAAAUCAAUACUCUCCUUUGAAACAGUUUGGCUUGAGCAAAGCAAUUUAUUUCGUUGAAGAAACCCACAGCACUGAAAACACUGCAACCAGUUGUAUUCAGAACUUCAGCUGACGAUUUGCACAACACAGAAUGGCCAGUGAAUGCAAAUGGGCUUUUAUACGAUGAUGUGGUGCUGGAAUGAUGGUCUGACUCCAUCUGAAGAGGACCUUUCUGUGCUAGGAAGGGGCACAGGGCUUUGCAGCCCCAGCAUCCCAAUGGAGGGGGAGUGCAGGCAGCAGCCUGUGCAGGAGGCUUAGGAAAAUCCCUGGCUGGGCUUCGGGUGGUUGUUUCUGCUCUAAUGACUAGGAAGGGGCAUUCUGUUGUUCCUGAAUCUCCUGUCCCACUGUUGUGCAAAUGUCACCAGCUGUCUCCCAGAGAGCAAACCAGCAGCUCUGUAAGCCUGUAGUUUUCUGAAGAUGACCUCAGACUGGUUAGAAACCCUUAAAGAAAAAUAAAAACAAAAAACAACAUACUUUUUGUACUAGCUGAAAAAUAUUCAAAUCAAUAUGAUCUUGAGCUGCAGCUGUCACCCAGUCAGCCAUUGCUGUAUUUUCAGGUGUCCUCAAAACACGACUUUAUUUUCCACAGGCUUCCGUUGAUAUUUCAGGGACUAAUGCACACAGACUACAGAACAGAACAAAAACAUGUCUAAGCAGUGGCUUUACAGUAAAAUUAGCAUUUAGGAAAACAGCUGGGUAUGGCCAAUUUCUGUCAGUCGUAGGUUAACAUUUUAGCGGCCUGACACAUGGUUCAAAGCAAGAACCAGGCUGAGAAUUUGGAUGUGGUAUCGGUAAGGUAACCUGGAAACUGUAGUUCCCAUUUGACUUUGGAUAGUGCAAGGAAAUGGGAUGAAAAAAAGCUGCUGUGUGGAUGAACUCUUUAUGGACGUCUCUGUUGUCUGCAUGUAUAAUGGCAAACCAUUACACGAGAAUUCUUUUGUCAUUAAAAUCAAGUGAUUUAUUGCU